GGCUACCUCCGUUUCUAAGAAGAAGCUCGACAUUGACUCGACGAAGAAACGCAAGGCUGAUGUGGACGCAACAAAGAAGGGGCGGGUGAAGAAG